rnacentral:rRNA from 1 species
GACGGGGGGGGCAAGUGUUCUUCGGAAUCACUGGGCAUAAAGCGCACGUAGGCGGUGCCGUAAGUCGGAUGUGAAAUCCCUCGGCCUAACCGAGGAACUGCGUCCGAUACUGCGGUGCUUGAGGAUCAGAGGGGUGCAUGGAAUUUCCGGUGGAGCGGUGAAAUGCGUUGAUAUCGGAAGGAACUCCGGCGGCGAAAGCGAUGCACUGGCUGAUUUCUGACGCUGAGGUGCGAAAGCCAGGGGAGCAAACGGG